rnacentral:rRNA from 1 species
GUGGGGAAUAUUGCACAAUGGGCGAAAGCCUGAUGCAGCAACGCCGCGUGAAGGAAGAAGGGUUUCGGCUCGUAAACUUCUAUCGAUGGGGAAGAAACAAAUGACGGUACCCAAAUAAGAAGCCCCGGCUAACUACGUGCCAGCAGCCGCGGUAAUACGUAGGGGGCAAGCGUUAUCCGGAAUUACUGGGUGUAAAGGGAGCGUAGGCGGCAUGGUAAGCCAGAUGUGAAAGCCCGAAGCUUAACUUCGAGGAUUGCAUUUGGAACUAUCAAGCUAGAGUACAGGAGAGGUAAGUGGAAUUCCUAGUGUAGCGGUGAAAUGCGUAGAUAUUAGGAAGAACACCAGUGGCGAAGGCGACUUACUGGACUGAGACUGACGCUGAGGCUCGAAAGCGUGGGGAGCGAACAGGAUUAGAAACCCGGGUAGUCC